GAUGAACGCUGGCGGCGUGCCUAAUACAUGCAAGUCGAGCGAACGGAUGAGAAGCUUGCUUCUCUGAUGUUAGCGGCGGACGGGUGAGUAACACGUGGAUAACCUACCUAUAAGACUGGGAUAACUUCGGGAAACCGGAGCUAAUACCGGAUAAUAUUUUGAACCGCAUGGUUCAAAAGUGAAAGACGGUCUUGCUGUCACUUAUAGAUGGAUCCGCGCUGCAUUAGCUAGUUGGUAAGGUAACGGCUUACCAAGGCAACGAUGCAUAGCCGACCUGAGAGGGUGAUCGGCCACUCUGGAACUGAGACACGGUCCAGACUCCUACGGGAGGCAGCAGUAGGGAAUCUUCCGCAAUGGGCGAAAGCCUGACGGAGCAACGCCGCGUGAGUGAUGAAGGUCUUCGGAUCGUAAAACUCUGUUAUUAGGGAAGAACAUAUGUGUAAGUAACUGUGCACAUCUUGACGGUACCUAAUCAGAAAGCCACGGCUAACUACGUG
rnacentral:rRNA from 1 species